CUCCAUCUCUACACCGAAUCGUCAACUUCGGCCUUUUCCUCUCUGUGCGUGGAAACAACUACCAGUCGUCGUAUAGCUUCCAUUGCUCCAUCAAGAAUAAUGUUGGUGGUACAAGUUUAUCUCCUACUAUCUUAAAUGCGUCUACCAAUCAGGCUUUGCAUAAGGAUUUGAUGAUGGAGGCCACAUACACAUCCUCGUUUUGAUAUUUUCGGGAUGAAUUUUGAGAAGGACAACAAAAGCUUGAUUUUAAUUGAGAUUGUUAUGUGGAUUAUGAGAUUUGAUUCAAUGAAUCCUCCCUUUUAGAACUUUGGAAUCGUAUUUUGUUAUAUUUAAUUGGGAGUGGAAUCCAA